CUACAAUACAACAUGACAACACAACUACAUAACACCAUUAAAUACAGUUGGAAUGUAGUUAGAACUCAAACUGUUUCCGUCAAACAGAAAAACAACAAUAAAUCUGGAUCAACACAUUUAUAUUUCUAGAUGCUGCACUUUGCUGUUUCAUUACCCAGACAGCUGUUUAAGGUCAUACCAAGGCAGAGUGUAGUAUCAGUACUUAGGGGUCAUAGGUCAUACCAAGGCAGAGUGUAGUAUCAGUACUUAGGGGUCAUAGGUCAGACCAAGGCAGAGUGUAGUAUCAGUACUUAGGGGUCAUAGGUCAGAUCAGUGGUCAUGGCUGAUAUACAUGGACUAGAAAACAAACUUUAAGACCAUUUUUCUAAGAUUCACUGUUUGUGUAGAUGCUGUUUGUCUCUUUAGGACUGUAGUUCAGGUGGCUGUUUGUGUAGAUGCUGUUUGUCUCUUUAGGACAGUAGUUCAGGUGGCUGUUUGUGUAGAUGCUGUUUGUCUUUACUAGGACAGUAGUUCAGGUGGCUGUUUGUGUAGAUGCUGUUUGUCUCUGUAGGACAGUAGUUCAGGUGGCUGUUUGUGUAGAUGCUGUUUGUCUCUGUAGGACUGUAGUUCAGGUGGAUGUUUGUGUAGAUGCUGUUUGUCUUUGUAUGACAGUAGUUCAGGUGGUUGUUUGUGUAGAUGCUGUUUGUCUUUGUAGGACAGUAGUUCAGGUGGCUGUUUGUCUCUUUAGGACUGUAGUUCAGGUGGCUGUUUGUCUUUGUAGGACAGUAGUUCAGGUGGUUGUUUGUCUUUGUAGGACAGUAGUUCAGGUGGUUGUUUGUGGAGAUGCUGUUUGUCUCUGUAGGACAGUAGUUCAGGUGGCUGUUUGUGUAGAUGCUGUUUGUCUCUGUAGGACAGUAGUUCAGGUGGCUGUUUGUGUAGAUGCUGUUUGUCUUUGUAGGACAGUAGUUCAGGUGGCUGUUUGUCUUUGUAGGACAGUAGUUCAGGUGGCUGUUUGUCUUUGUAGGACAGUAGUUCAGGUGGCUGUUUGUGUAGAUGCUGUUUGUCUUUGUAGGACAGUAGUUCAGGUGGCUGCCCUUGCACUUAGUCUGCCUCCUGCCCCCCCAUCGUCAUGGUUACACCUUCCUGAAUACAAUGACUCCCAUACUUUGCUGAAACCUGUUCUGCCAGUUCAUGUCCUUAAAGUCUAGAAUGUUCCAAUGUGGUUACCCAAAGAGAUGACAAGAUAGUUCACACAUGCAUCUUUCAGGGUAACUGUCAAACAGACAUGUCACAUUUCUGGUUGGUCCAUAA
ensembl:lncRNA